rnacentral:rRNA from 1 species
GAUGAACGCUGGCGGCGUGCCUAAUACAUGCAAGUCGAGCGAACAGACGAGGAGCUUGCUCCUCUGACGUUAGCGGCGGACGGGUGAGUAACACGUGGAUAACCUUCCUAUAAGACUGGGAUAACUUCGGGAAACCGGAGCUAAUACCGGAUAAUAUAUUGAACCGCAUGGUUCAAUAGUGAAAGACGGUUUUGCUGUCACUUAUAGAUGGAUCCGCGCCGCAUUAGCUAGUUGGUAAGGUAACGGCUUACCAAGGCGACGAUGCGUAGCCGACCUGAGAGGGUGAUCGGCCACACUGGAACUGAGACACGGUCCAGACUCCUACGGGAGGCAGCAGUAGGGAAUCUUCCGCAAUGGGCGAAAGCCUGACGGAGCAACGCCGCGUGAGUGAUGAAGGUCUUCGGAUCGUAAAACUCUGUUAUUAGGGAAGAACAAAUGUGUAAGUAACUAUGCACGUCUUGACGGUACCUAAUCAGAAAGCCACGGCUAACUACGUG